UGGUGGCGACCGGCGCACGGGUGAGUAACGCGUAUGCAACCCAUCUAUCAGAGGGGAAUAACCCGGCGAAAGUCGGACUAACACCGCAUAAAACAGGGACACCGCAUGGUGAUAUUUGUUAAAGAAGUUCGCUGAUAGAUGGGCAUGCGUUCCAUUAGGUAGUUGGUGAGGUAACGGCUCACCAAGCCGACGAUGGAUAGGGGAACUGAGAGGUUGGUCCCCCACACUGGUACUGAGACACGGACCAGACUCCUACGGGAGGCAGCAGUGAGGAAUAUUGGUCAAUGGGCGAGAGCCUGAACCAGCCAAGUCGCGUGAAGGAAGAAGGAUCUAUGGUUCGUAAACUUCUUUUGCAGGGGAAUAAAGUGCAGGACGUGUCCUGUUUUGUAUGUACCCUGAGAAUAAGGAUCGGCUAACUCCGUGCCAGCAGCCGCGGUAAUACGGAGGAUCCGAGCGUUAUCCGGAUUUAUUGGGUUUAAAGGGUGCGUAGGUGGUUUGAUAAGUCAGCGGUGAAAGUUUGCAGCUUAACUGUAAAAAUGCCGUUGAAACUGUCGGACUUGAGUGUAAAUGAGGUAGGCGGAAUGCGUGGUGUAGCGGUGAAAUGCUUAGAUAUCACGAAGAACUCCGAUUG
rnacentral:rRNA from 1 species